AGCUUUGCGCAGUGGCAGUAUCAUAGCCAAUGAGGUUUAUCCGAGGCACGAUUAUUGCUAAUUGAAACAAAAGGGGAUCUGAGCCGAUACUAGAAACGUUUUUGGAAUUCAUGGACUACAUUACUGCA
rnacentral:snRNA from 1 species